CAGCGCCACAAGUGGCAAUCACGUUUAUUGGGCCUAAAGCGUCCGUAGCCGGUUUAGCAAAUCUUUUGUGAAAUCGUCAGGCUUAACUUAACGAAUUGCAGAAGACACUACUAAACUAGGGACUGGGAGGAGUCAGAAGUAUUCUGGGGGGACCGGUAAAAUGGUAUAAUCCCCAGAGGACUACCGAUGGCGAAGGCAUCUGACCAGAACAGAUCCGACGGUGAGGGACGAAAGCCAGGGGAGCAAACCGGAUUAGAGACCCGAGUAGUCC
rnacentral:rRNA from 1 species